UUAUUUGUGUUGUGAUGAGAGAACAGACUAUUUAUUUGUGUUGUGAUGAGAGAACAGACUAUUUAUUUGUAUUGUGAUGAGAGAACAGACUAUUUAUUUGUAUUGUGAUGAGAGAACAGACUAUUUAUUUGUGUUGUGAUGAAAGAACAGACUAUUUAUUUGUAUUGUGAUGAGAGAACAGACUAUUUAUUUGUAUAGUGAUGAGAGAACAGACUAUUUAUUUGUGUUGUGAUGAGAGAACAGGUUCAAGAUGAGACACCCACCCCCCUUUUCCCUUCCCUUGUUCAUAAUUCUAUACUUUGUUAAUAAUAAAUCUUACUAAUGAUUCUCCCCUUAUAUUUAAUGCGUUUCCUUCAGUUUUAGUUUGUUACACCG
rnacentral:lncRNA from 1 species